GUGCAGCACAUCAUCCUAAUAUUAAUGCCGCUGUGGAGCUGGUUAGACAAGGUAUUACUGAAUUAGGUGUUGAGCCAUAUAUUGAAGAUGAAGGUACAGGCGAUUUGCGAUACAUCCAGAUGGCUGUGACAACAUACAACACAUUUCUUCCUGCAGCAGAAAGAUAUAAGAAUGG